UUGAAGUGUGGACGCCAGUCUGCAUGGAGCCGACCUUGAAAUACCACCCUUUAAUGUUUGAUGUUCUAACGUGGACCCGUGAUCCGGGUUGCGGACAGUGUCUGGUGGGUAGUUUGACUGGGGCGGUCUCCUCCUAAAGAGUAACGGAGGAGCACGAAGGUUGGCUAAUCCUGGUCGGACAUCAGGAGGUUAGUGCAAUGGCAUAAGCCAGCUUGACUGCGAGCGUGACGGCGCGAGCAGGUGCGAAAGCAGGUCAUAGUGAUCCGGUGGUUCUGAAUGGAAGGGCCAUCGCUCAACGGAUAAAAGGUACUCCGGGGAUAACAGGCUGAUACCGCCCAAGAGUUCAUAUCGACGGCGGUGUUUGGCACCUCGAUGUCGGCUCAUCACAUCCUGGGGCUGAAGUAGGUCCCAAGGGUAUGGCUGUUCGCCAUUUAAAGUGGUACGCGAGCUGGGUUUAGAACGUCGUGAGACAGUUCGGUCCCUAUCUGCCGUGGGCGCUGGAGAACUGAGGGGGGCUGCUCCUAGUACGAGAGGACCGGAGUGGACGCAUCACUGGUGUUCGGGUUGUCAUGCCAAUGGCACUGCCCGGUAGCUAAAUGCGGAAGAGAUAAGUGCUGAAAGCAUCUAAGCACGAAACUUGCCCCGAGAUGAGUUCUCCCUGAGACUUUAGGUCUCCUGAAGGAACGUUGAAGACGACGACGUUGAUAGGCCGGGUGUGUAAGCGCAGCGAUGCGUUGAGCUAACCGGUACUAAUGAACCGUGAGGCUUAACCUUACAACGCCGAAG
rnacentral:rRNA from 1 species